rnacentral:rRNA from 1 species
AUAUUAUUUAGAGUUUUUUGGUUAUAUUUUUGGAUUAAAGAUUAGUAAGAUGGGUGAAGGUUUUUGUUUUUCUAUAGAGAACUAAGUACUGUUGAGGAAAGUUAUUAUUUAUAAAGAAUAUUAGGUUGAUUAGUACCUUUUGUAUUAGGGUUGAUUUAUGUGAUUUUACUUGGGUAUAAUCUCGAUGAAUAUCGAGCUAUGAGUUCUUGAUUUAUAUUCGUUGUAUAGAAUAGAAUAGGAUUUUAUAGUUAUGAAAUAUUAUUCAAGUUAUUUUUUAUCUAGUUCUUUAAGAGAUUUAAUAUAUAGUAUUUUUAUUAGGACAGUAAAUAGGGAUUAGCUUAUUUAUUUAUAUAUGGCCGUUAUAAUAGAAUUCAUUUAUUAGGUUGAUAGUGCUUAUUUUUAUUAAGUUAUAAUUAGGUGGUUAAUAAAUUAUUAUUUUGUUAGUUUAUUUUUUUAUUAGGGUUUCUUAUUAAAUAUAUAACUUUGAGAGAUAAUGAUUAGAUUAGUAAUAUUUUGAUUUAUAUAGUUUGUUUUAUGAUAGUGGGGAUAAAUUAGAUAGUAUUUUAAUUAGAGAAGAUUAAUUAGGCAAAAAUUGAUCUCUGACUGUUUAGCAAAGACAUUGUUUUUUGUUGGAAAAAAAAAUAAGUUCUGCCCACUGCUAUUAGGUGAAGGGCUGCAGUAUUUUGACUGUAUGAAGGUAGCAUAAUCACUAGCUCCUUAAUUAGGAGCUGGUAUGAAGGUGAAACGGGGGUUUGCUGUUUUUUCUUUAUUUUUGAAUUUUAUUUAUAUGUGAAAAAUCAUAUUUAAAUUUAAGGGACAAGAAGACCCUAAUAAGCUUUAUCUAUGAUUUUUGAUGCGAAUAUAGGUUAAAAAUUUAUUUAAUUUAAUAUAGUGGGUUUAGUUGGGGCGACGAUUUAUAUAACAUGAAUUAUUUUUUAACUUUAGGCGAUGAAUUAGACCUAAAAUUUUUAGUUGAGUAGUAAGUUACUGUAGGGAUAACAGCGUAAUUUUAUUUGAGAGUUCUUAUUGACAAUAAAGUUUGCGACCUCGAUG